CCUACAGGAGACAGCAGUGAGGAAUAUUGGUCAAUGGGCGCGAGCCUGAACCAGCCACGUAGCGUGAAGGAUGACUGCCCUACGGGUUGUAAACUUCUUUUGUACAGGACUAAAGUGAGGCACGUGUGCCUUUUUGUAUGUACUUUAUGAAUAAGGAUCGGCUAACUCCGUGCCAGCAGCCGCGGUAAUACGGAGGAUCCGAGCGUUAUCCGGAUUUAUUGGGUUUAAAGGGAGCGUAGAUGGGUUGUUAAGUCAGUUGUGAAAGUUUGCGGCUCAACCGUAAAAUUGCAAUUGAUACUGGCAGGCUGGAGUACAGUUGAGGUAGGCGGAAUGCGUGGUGUAGCGGUGAAAUGCGUAGAUAUCACGAAGAACUCCGAUUGCGAAGGCAGCUUACUAAACGGCCACUGACAUUGAUGCUCGAAAGUGUGGGUAUCAAACAGGAUUAGAUACCCGAGUAGUC
rnacentral:rRNA from 1 species